rnacentral:rRNA from 1 species
AGGACGAACGCUGGCGGCGUUGCUUAACACAUGCAAGUCGAACGGUGACCCAGGGCUUGCCCUGGUGAUCAGUGGCGAACGGGUGAGUAACACGUGGGCAACCUGCCCCUGACUUCGGGAUAACUCCUCGAAAGAGGAGCUAAUACCGGAUACGACCACUUCGGACAUCCGAUGGUGGUGGAAAGUUCUUCGGUCAGGGAUGGGCCCGCGGCCUAUCAGCUAGUUGGUGGGGUAAUGGCCUACCAAGGCGACGACGGGUAGCCGGCCUGAGAGGGCGACCGGCCACACUGGGACUGAGACACGGCCCGGACUCCUACGGGAGGCAGCAGUGGGGAAUAUUGCGCAAUGGGCGAAAGCCUGACGCAGCGACGCCGCGUGAGGGAUGAAGGCCUUCGGGUUGUAAACCUCUUUCAGCAGGGACGAAGCGAAAGUGACGGUACCUGCAGAAGAAGCACCGGCUAACUACGUG